GUUAGGAAUCUUCCACAAUGGGGGCAACCCUGAUGGAGCAACACCGCGUGCUGGAUGAAGGUCUUCGGAUUGUAAACUUCUUUUAUGAGUGAAGAAUAUGACGGUAACUCAUGAAUAAGCACUGGCUAACUACGUGCCAGCAGCCGCGGUCAUACGUAGGGUGCAAGCAUUAUCCGGAGUGACUGGGCGUAAAGAGUUGCGUAGGCGGUUAUGUAAGCGAAUAGUGAAACCUGGUGGCUCAACCACACAGACUAUUAUUCGAACUGCAUAACUCGAGAAUGGUAGAGGUAACUGGAAUUUCUUGUGUAGGAGUGAAAUCCGUAGAUAUAAGAAGGAACACCAAUGGCGUAGGCAGGUUACUGGGCCAUUUCUGACGCUAAGGCACGAAAGCGUGGGGAGCGAACCGGAUUAGAAACCCGGGUAGUCC
rnacentral:rRNA from 1 species